rnacentral:rRNA from 1 species
AUUGAACGCUGGCGGCAGGCUUAACACAUGCAAGUCGAGCGGGGGAAGGUAGCUUGCUACUGGACCUAGCGGCGGACGGGUGAGUAAUGCUUAGGAAUCUGCCUAUUAGUGGGGGACAACAUCUCGAAAGGGAUGCUAAUACCGCAUACGUCCUACGGGAGAAAGCAGGGGAUCUUCGGACCUUGCGCUAAUAGAUGAGCCUAAGUCGGAUUAGCUAGUUGGUGGGGUAAAGGCCUACCAAGGCGACGAUCUGUAGCGGGUCUGAGAGGAUGAUCCGCCACACUGGGACUGAGACACGGCCCAGACUCCUACGGGAGGCAGCAGUGAGAAAUAUUGGACAAUGGGGGGAACCCUGAUCCAGCCAUGCCGCGUGUGUGAAGAAGGCCUUAUGGUUGUAAAGCACUUUAAGCGAGGAGGAGGCUACUCUAGUUAAUACCUAGGGAUAGUGGACGUUACUCCCAGAAUAAGCACCGGCUAACUCUGUGCCAGCCGCCGCAGUAA